rnacentral:rRNA from 1 species
CAUAUCAAUAAGCGGAGGAAAAGAAACUAACAAGGAUUCCCCUAGUAACUGCGAGUGAAGCGGGAAAAGCUCAAAUUUAAAAUCUGGCAGUCUCUGGCUGUCCGAGUUGUAAUCUAGAGAAGUAAUGCCCGUGCUGGACCGUGUAUAAGUCUCCUGGGAUGGGGCGUCAUAGAGGGUGAGAAUCCCGUCUUUGACACGGACUACCAGUGCAUUGUGGUAUGCUCUCAAAGAGUCGAGUUGUUUGGGAAUGCAGCUCAAAAUGGGUGGUAAAUUCCAUCUAAAGCUAAAUAUUGGCGAGAGACCGAUAGCGAACAAGUACCGUGAGGGAAAGAUGAAAAGAACUUUGGAAAGAGAGUUAAACAGUACGUGAAAUUGCUGAAAGGGAAACGCUUGAAGUCAGUCGCGUUGGCCGGGAAUCAGCCUUGCUUUUUGCUUGGUGUACUUUCUGGUUGAUGGGUCAGCAUCAAUUUUGACCACUGGAAAAAGGCCUGGGGAAUGUGGCAGCUUCGGCUGUGUUAUAGCCUCUAGUCGCAUACAGUGGUUGGGAUUGAGGAACUCAGCACGCCGCAAGGCCGGGUUUCGACCACGUUCGUGCUUAGGAUGCUGGCAUAAUGGCUUUAAGCGACCCGUCUUGAAACACGGACCAAGGAGUCUAACAUGCCUGCGAGUAUUUGGGUGGAAAACUCAAGUGCGUAAUGAAAGUGAAAGUUGAGAUCCCUGUCGUGGGGAGCAUCGACGCCCGGACCAGAACUUUUGGGACGGAUCCGCGGUGGAGCAUGUAUGUUGGGACCCGAAAGAUGGUGAACUAUGCCUGAAUAGGGUGAAGCCAGAGGAAACUCUGGUGGAGGCUCGUAGCGAUUCUGACGUGCAAAUCGAUCGUCAAAUUUGGGUAUAGGGGCGAAAGACUAAUCGAACCAUCUAGUAGCU